CAUUAGUUAGUUGGUGGGGUAAUGGCCUACCAAGACGAUGAUGUGUAGCCGGGCUGAGAGGUCGAACGGCCACAUUGGGACUGAGACACGGCCCAAACUCCUACGGGAGGCAGCAGUAAGGAAUUUUCGGCAAUGGAGGAAACUCUGACCGAGCAAUGCCGCGUGAACGAUGAAGUAUUUCGGUACGUAAAGUUCUUUUAUUAGGGAAGAAAAGAUGGUGGAAAAACCAUUAUGACGGUACCUAAUGAAUAAGCCCCGGCUAACUAUGUGCCAGCAGCCGCGGUAAUACAUAGGGGGCAAGCGUUAUCCGGAAUUAUUGGGCGUAAAGGGUGCGUAGGCGGUUAAAUAAGUUUAUGGUCUAAGUGCAACGCUCAACGUUGUGAUGCUAUAAAAACUGUUUAGCUAGAGUUGGAUAGAGGCAAGUGGAAUUCCGUGUGUAGUGGUAAAAUGCGUAAAUAUACGGAGGAACACCAGAAGCGAAGGCGGCUUGCUGGGUCUUAACUGACGCUGAGGCACGAAAGCGUGGGGAGCAAACAGGAUUAGAUACCCUGGUAGUCCACGCCCUAAACGAUGAGUACUAAACGUUGGAUAAAACCAGUGUUGAAGUUAACACAUUAAGUACUCCGCCUGAGUAGUACGUACGCAAGUAUGAAACUUAAAGGAAUUGACGGGACUCCGCACAAGCGGUGGAUCAUGUUGUUUAAUUCGAAGGUACCCGAAAAACCUCACCAGGUCUUGACAUGCUUUUGCAAAGCUGUAGAAAUACAGUGGAGGUUAUCAGAAGCACAGGUGGUGCAUGGUUGUCGUCAGCUCGUGUCGUGAGAUGUUGGGUUAAGUCCCGCAACGAGCGCAACCCUUGUUGUUAAUUGCCAUCAUUAAGUUGGGGACUUUAGCAAGACUGCCAAUGAUAAAUUGGAGGAAGGUGGGGACGACGUCAAAUCAUCAUGCCCCUUAUGACCUGGGCUACAAACGUGAUACAAUGGCUGUUACAAAGGGUAGCUAAAGCGUAAGCU
rnacentral:rRNA from 1 species